rnacentral:misc_RNA from 1 species
GGCUUUCUUCCUAGUCCCCAGUAUCACAUGAAUUCUUAACAUACAAGACUCAAGUCAAUAAAUCCAUGGCAGACACGAAUGGAAGUUAACAAGUUAUUAAGACAUAAUUUUCUCCUAUACAAGUUCUCUUGUGCCAUGAAAAACAAGCCAUUUGUGAAAUAUAUAGCUUGUUGAAUAUGUGAAUCAAAGAUUUCACAGUAUUUUAUUUCUGCAGCUUAUUUUGAAAAACACAAUAUAAAAUAUGAGAUAUUACUCCCUU